rnacentral:lncRNA from 1 species
AGGGAAUAUGUCUCCUCAGAGGAUGGUUCUGGGAGAUGGAAGACCAGAACUGGAGAGAUUAACUUUGGCUCACACCGAGGAAGUCUCCCCGCCUCGGGCUGCCACCCCCUGAAGGACCCCAGGGUGGCCAGCAGAGAGCUGGAAGCCAGAGGAAAUGGCCCCUGGGACCCGGAGGUACCCCUCUUGGGUCAUUUACCCCAUGUAUAUUCCAUUGAUCCACCCUUCUACUGCCAUGGACCAGGGUCCAGCCCCACUUGUGGCUCCAGGGGUUCUCAACAGGUGGAGCGGGUAGGCGGAAAUAAGAGGCGGAAGACUGCUGUGUAUGUGUAUCUGCCAGGGGCAGGCUUUGCAUGAAGUGGCUGCUUCGCCAUGCCCAGGUUGGUCUUUAUUCUUAUACCCAUUUUCUUGGCACACAGAUACAUCAUUCAACAUACAUGUUCAAAUAGAGAUAAUUGGAUAAGUGAUACAUUCACUUUUAACAAAUCGUUUGAUUAACAUUCUGGGAUUAUUCUAUAUUCUUGUAUUGUGAUUAUUGAUUAUGACAGGAAAUACAAAGGUUCUAUACAAGAUAUAUGAUUUUGUCACAGGUGGCUGAAUUUUCUCAUUAACCUGUGAGAAGCCUGAGCUUACAGACAAUCAAAGAAAAUUACUUAUUACCUUUAAUAAAAAGAGAUAAUCAGUCA